rnacentral:rRNA from 1 species
AGUGAACGCUGGCGGUAGGCCUAACACAUGCAAGUCGAACGGCAGCACAGUAAGAGCUUGCUCUUACGGGUGGCGAGUGGCGGACGGGUGAGUAAUACAUCGGAAUCUACUUUUUCGUGGGGGCUAACGUAGGGAAACUUACGCUAAUACCGCAUACGACCUACGGGUGAAAGCAGGGGAUCUUCUGACCUUGCGCGAUUGAAUGAGCCGAUGUCGGAUUAGCUAGGUGGCGGGGUAAAGGCCCACCAAGGCGACGAUCCGUAGCUGGUCUGAGGGGAUGGUCAGCCACACUGGAACUGAGGCACGGUCCAGACACCUACGGGAGGCAGCAGUGGGGAAUAUUGGACAAUGGGGGCAAGCCUGAUCCAGCCAAACCGCGUGGGUGAAGAAGGCCUUAGGGUUGUAAAGCCCUUUUGUUGGGAAAGAAAAGCAGCAGGUUAAUACCCCGCUGUUCUGACGGUACCCAAAGAAUAAGCACCGGCUAACUUCGUG